GUCCGUGAUGUGUUCGUUCUUACGACGAAAGGCAGAAUCCUGCAGCUCGAGAGAUAUGUUAUUCUGCCAGUCGCACUUUCAAAUAGUCUUGCACACUUAAACGGGUCACAAACACCUGCAUUUAGCUCUUGUUGUGUUACAAUGGGUUUAUUGUGUGCAUUUGUGGUAAUAUUUUAUUUAAAAAAGCUCUUAAACAAGAAUAAAUUCGUUUGUUUUGAGCUGGACACUGUACGCGCUGAUCGGAGGCGGUGAUUUCAGAUAGGCAGCUGCAAAUAUUUCAUUUUCACACAAACAGUUCAAAAACAUCUUAAUUUAGCUCUUGGUGUGUUCUAAUUGGUUGAUUGUGUGAUAUCGCUGUAAUAAUUUAUUUUUAAAAGCUUUAAAACAGAAAUAAAUUCGUUUUCUCUGAGCUCUUUACUCCAGACGCUCGUGAUCACAGCGGUGAUUAAUCUCUCCUAUUUCUCACGUAUCUCUGGCCAGAAAUAAUUUAUCCAUGAGCCCUGAACCGGUAAUAAUCAGAUAUGUUGGUUUAGCUUGUCAGUGUGAAUUAAAUCUAAGUAUUUGUUUGUAUUUUUAACCGAUUUAAAAGUGAAAGUAAAAGUCCGGGAAUUGAACCUGUAGGGGCGCUAUUUCUCUCAGACAAUGGAAGUCUGAAGCACAUAUACUCAAACAGAGGGACAGCGUGAGAUGAGAUGUCUGACAGUUUUUUAAUUUUCUGUUAUCCAUACAGUGUUGUAAAGUCGUGAAACUAUGCGUAUUUCCUCAGAAUGACUUUUUCAUCUGUAUGAAAAAAUUCUUUGACGUGUUUGGAAGCUGCAAUUUAAAAAUACAAUAAUGAUUCCCUUUGUAAGGUCAUUUCAAAAAAUCACCACGGCAAAACCAUUCAAGC